CUCGUACGACCCCCUCACCCCCCAAUUUUCUUUCCCCCGUCCCGGUUUUCUCCCCCUGGCCUGCUCCUCACGCCGGCAUCCCGCGCCGCCGCUGCCGAGUGCUCCUCACGCCGGCGUCUCGCGCCGUCGUCCAAAACAACACCACCAUGGAUCCCGAUGUGGAGCUCCACUGCGGCCCGAUCUGACCUGGGAGCGACCAGAUCCGUCCGUCUUCGCCUCGCUCUGCGCGCCUCCAUGGUCCGCCGUCUUCCGGAGCGCCGGCCCGCGCUCAGCCGCCGCCGUCCCAUGCCAUGGUCGCCUCCCUCCAGAACGAUGUGCCAUGGCCGCCUCCCUGGCUCUAUCCGACAGCUCCGUUGGGGAAGCACCAAGAUCCAAACUCCAAGUAUUCGUGGAUACAGGGAACAGUUAUGGUACAAAUAGACUUGAUUGUACUGAUAAUUUUCAGCUUGCACAUGGAUCCCUUAUAGUAUGCAAUCAAGCUUGAUGAUAAAUUCUUGGAGAGACGCUAGGUGCCAGGUAAGGUGACCCAAGACUAUUGCUUUCAGUUAUUCAAUGGUGUUCAUAUGGCAUAUUGCUAUCAGAUAUGCCAUUGCCUGCAGCGGCAAGCUUGAAUUGGUAAGAUGGAUGGGGGGAGAAAAAGAGUCAUUUAACGUAAUUUUGAUUACCGAUGCCUGUAUGAGCAGCUGCUCACUGUGCGCAUGGGAGAGGAGGUCAUGCGUGGAGGCUACUCGGAGAGGACUGGAUGCAUGUCCGUGUCCGCGCACUUGGAGCAGCAGCCAAUGGAUGGUUGGCCAGAGGAGGACCAGGGUUAUCCUAGACCACUUGAGGACAAUAUCAUCAAUUUCUUCCAUAGUGCAAUGCAAGUUCAAAAAUGCAGUUUCUGUUCUAUGCAUUUUUCGAAGUGUAUGUAUGUUGUAACUGAUUAACAAAACAUUGGUCAACCUUCUAUGAGUCCACCUAGAGAGCGGCACAGAUUUGGAACAACUUCCAGAACAGGCAUCCAAGCAUUUGGUCUGGUACCACUAAGCUGCCAGAGCAAGAUAGCUGGGAUGUCGAGUCCAUAGGGCAAUGGUAAAUCACAAAUUGGCUGAUGUUUGAUGGGAAGCAUCAGACAAUACCAAUGUUCAGUAGUAAGAUUUGAUUGUGCAGGUGAUCAACUCAAGUGUGUGUACAUCCCCUGUUAGUCCAGAUUUAGAAAAAUAUGAUUUCUGCUAUGAUAGUUUCCAGAAUAGUUUGGCCCUCGAGACACUUCCACUGUAUGCAUGUGUGUUUCUUUUUUUCAGAGAUAUGCGUCUAUUUAUUAUUA